AAUAGAUGACGCCGUUGACUUUUUCUCACAUGUUUGACCAUUCGUCUUAUUCAAAACAUUUACAUAAUUAUAAUUUAUUUUGUUAUGAGUUGUUUUAUCACUCAUAGUAUUUUAAGUGUGAUUUAUAUCUUAUACAUUUGCAUAAAUUUUUUGAAUAAGAUGAAUGGUCAAACAUAUAAGAAAAAAAUUAACAGUGUCAUCUAUU
rfam:Oryza glaberrima chromosome 4 Oglab04_0241_1, whole genome shotgun sequence.